rnacentral:rRNA from 1 species
AUUGAACGCUGGCGGAAUGCUUUACACAUGCAAGUCGAACGGCAGCAUAGGUGCUUGCACCUGAUGGCGAGUGGCGAACGGGUGAGUAAUACAUCGGAACGUGCCCAGUCGUGGGGGAUAACGUAGCGAAAGUUACGCUAAUACCGCAUACGAUCUAAGGAUGAAAGCGGGGGACCGUAAGGCCUCGCGCGAUUGGAGCGGCCGAUGUCAGAUUAGGUAGUUGGUGAGGUAAAGGCUCACCAAGCCGACGAUCUGUAGCUGGUCUGAGAGGACGACCAGCCACACUGGGACUGAGACACGGCCCAGACUCCUACGGGAGGCAGCAGUGGGGAAUUUUGGACAAUGGGCGCAAGCCUGAUCCAGCCAUGCCGCGUGCGGGAAGAAGGCCUUCGGGUUGUAAACCGCUUUUGUCAGGGAAGAAAUACUCUGGGCUAAUACCCUGGGGUGAUGACGGUACCUGAAGAAUAAGCACCGGCUAACUACGUGCCAGCCGCCGCAGUAAAAC